rnacentral:rRNA from 1 species
AUUGAACGCUGGCGGCAGGCCUAACACAUGCAAGUCGAACGGUAACAGGAAGAAGCUUGCUUCUUUGCUGACGAGUGGCGGACGGGUGAGUAAUGUCUGGGAAACUGCCUGAUGGAGGGGGAUAACUACUGGAAACGGUAGCUAAUACCUCAUAACUUCGCAAGACCAAAGAGGGGGACCUUCGUGCCUCUUGCCAUCGGAUGUGCCCAGAUGGGAUUAGCUAGUAGGUGGGGUAACGGCUCACCUAGGCGACGAUCCCUAGCUGGUCUGAGAGGAUGACCAGCCACACUGGAACUGAGACACGGUCCAGACUCCUACGGGAGGCAGCAGUGGGGAAUAUUGCACAAUGGGCGCAAGCCUGAUGCAGCCAUGCCGAGUGUAUGAAGAAGGCCUUCGGGUUGUAAAGUACUUUCAGCGGGGAGGAAGGGAGUAAAGUUAAUACCUUUGCUCAUUGACGUUACCCGCAGAAGAAGCACCGGCUAACUACGUG